AUGAACAAGGCCCUGAAACGGACAAUGGUGGAGGUGAACACCAUCUUGGCAAAAUACCACAUCUUUGCGACUGUGACAGACCGAUACCUUGGUAUCGAUAAGGCUGUUCUUCAUUUUGUGUACUACGAGAGGGGCUCUUGUCAGCUGCAAUUACAAGAAGACUUGAUGGCAAUUUUCCGAGCAAAACAGAAUUCAUCUUCAGUGGAAAUCGACAUUCGAGGCGAAAUUUCAGACC